ACGAUGACGUCAAAUCGCACGAUUCAAACACGCCUGCCUGCACGCUUGUCAAAUUUGAACUUUGUUCGCUGAAUCAGAAAUUGAAUAAAACCUUUGUACUAACUGUGGCUGUUUCAGUUGGACGAGUUCGCGUUGUUGUAAUUACGUUCUCGCGUAAUGUCGUGUUAAUGGGAAAAUUUUUAAGCUUGUUAUGGUCCACACGUUUCAAAUAAUGCUUUUUGAAGCCCUAGAAAUGUUAUUUUAAUGGACGUGUGGUGAUAGCACACUGGUUCGUUCCGAAAGUUGCCAACUUUGAUCUUCAGGAAGGUUCUACAUGUAUAAUGUUUGCUACCAGAAGAAAGAAAAAAAACCUAAGAAAGGGACCUAAGCUCCAACAACUGGAAACGUAAAUAAUGAAUCGCGAGGGUGACUUACGGCCGGCAGUCAGGGUAUGGUGAAGGAUACAGCUCAACAAGACUGUUGCUACUUUAAUGAUCGCCAUCACUUUAAAUCCAAUUUUGGUGGACAGAAAAUCUAUAUCAACCUGGAAAGAAGAAACGGAACGGCCACACACAUAAGUGACUGUAUGUAAUUACUUUAAAGCUGUUUAAGCACUGCAGUAGGCUGCACACUACUGACGCAUGACAGGAGCCCAUAGUAAUGUGCUUUUGCGCUUGAUGAUUAGAACAUCAUUUUCCAAAAGGGAUUUCCUUUCCCAAUGAUAUACUAUCUUUUUUAUGAAAAUAUCAUAAAGCUAUAUAAGCCCAGAGCUAGACUUGUGUAAAUCUACAUGAGAACAGCUGUAGGCUACACACUAUUGACGCAUGAUGAUAAUACCAUCAUUUUCCAAAAGGGAUUUCCUCUAUUAAUGAUAUACCACCCUUUUCAUGAGACUGUUAUAAAGUAAAAUAAGCCCUGCGCGAGACUUAUGUAAAGCUAUAUGAGAACAGCUGUAGGCUACACACUAUUGACGCAUGAUGAUAAUACCGUCAUUUUCCAAAAGGAUUUCCUCUAUUAAUGAUAUUCCACCCUUUUCAUGAGACUGUUAUAAAGCUAAAUAAGCCCAGCGCUAGACUUAUUUAAAGCUAUAUGAGAACAGCGUUAGGCUACACACUACUGACACAUGAUGAUAAGACCAUCAGGCUAUACUGCUGAAUACCCUGCCACCAUUUACAUGUCACUGAACAAGAAUAGCGUCUACUGUGUUAUACCUGGUUCUUGAAAGCCUCACGACACAUGUAAAUGAGGUGGGCCAAAGUGGCAGGGUAUUCUGCAGUUACUCCAUGCCAUCAUUGUACAAAAGGGGUUUCCUCUAUUAAUGAUAUACGAUCUUUUUCAUGUAACUAUUUUAAACCUAUAUAAGCACAGUGGUAGACUACUGUAAAGCUAUAUAAGCACAGCGGUAAGCUACACACCAUUGAUGCAUGAUAAGACCGUCAUUUUUAAAAAGCGAUUUCCUCUAUUAAUGAUUAACUUAUUUUUUCAUGUAACUGUUACAAAGCUAUAUAGGCACAGUGGUAGACUGCACAUUAUGGAUGCAUGACGAUAAGACCAUCAUUUUUAAAAAGGGAUUUCUCCUUUUAGUGAUCCUCUGUAUUUCGUUUUUUCUACUGGUAUUCAUGAAACGGUAAGCCACCCAUCAGAUUUGAGACAAACACAACUACUCUUUUUUCUCGGUGUUUUGUUUGGGCCAUGUACAGUGAAGAAGAGUGAGUCACACUAGUCAUUAAUAUGUCACAUGAUAUAUCAUCACUAAUCACGCGAUGAAAAAUCUGUCAACAAACAAUUGUUAUGAUAAACAAUCAGUGAAAACAAAAGAGGUGAUUCUACGCGAACCGUAAAUGCCUGACUCAAUAAAAAAAAAAUUCAUACAUUUCUCAAAUUCAA